CACCAAACCGCCUUGGGGAUGGACAAGGCAUUAUCCGGCUGGGAAUGAGGCUUAGCGUGUGAAGGAGUGGUUCCGCUCCCAGCACCACGGUCUCCUACAAAAGGAACUCUGAGGAGCCAGACAGCUUGGCUUGGAGUACCAGCCACACCAAACUUCAUGCUCUGUGACUUUGGGCAAUUCAGUUAACCUCUCUGGGCCUCAGUCUCCUCAUCUGGAAAAUGGGCGUGAUGGCAGCUUCUGCUUCCUAAGCCUGGUUUGAAGAUGAAUGAGUGAGGAAACUGAGGCACACAGUAGUGAAAAAACAUGUCCAAAUCACACCUCUGGGAAGAGGCAGACCAGGCUCAGGGGCUUGGGUGAGUGACGACUAAGAGUUGUGUAGCAUGGGCUGUUGAUUCAGGCAUGAGCACGAGUGUCACUGGCAUCCCAGCCCCGGGCUAAGGGCUUAGCACCUGCUACCUUAUGCCAUCCUCAUGGCCAAUGCCAUCGGUUCCCAGCCCUCCCCAGCGGCAUCCCAUCUGCCCUGCCUGAAGAGUCUCCUGUUGGUUUGGAAGUUCACCCCCAAUGGUGCUCACAGAAGAUGACUUCAGUCUUGCCCCAAGGAAGCUGCCAUUGAAAAGCAUCCAAGAGUUUCAACUGAAUGGCAGUGGCCUCCGGUUCGCCUGGAACGCUCACCUCUGAUAAGUAGAGUCUUGCAAUGCUCAAUGGCCUCUCAUGAACACUCCCGUGUAAGUGACAAGUGAGAAAUGAGGCCCCAGGCCCUGGUAGCCAUUGGGACAUCCCCCAAGGCUUGAACUCCUGCCAGUCCAGCCUGCAGGUGCUUAGCAGGAUUUGGUCACUUGGCUUCAGCUGGCGUGUUAGUGAGUCUUGCCCUGGCUCAAGCAAAAGUCAGCGGCUCUGCGUCAGGGCACCCACAGGAUGGAAGGUGGGACUCACUCUGAACUGGUGUCAUGAUGCUUCCAACCGGCUCCAGGAAGACUACCAGCUGGGAAUCCCCCGCAGCCUGGCGGAAGAGCCCCCGUACCAAGCUCCUGAAGAAGAUCACCCUUCCCAGCAGCCUCAGAUGCAAGAACUGGGGAUGGGGCAGACAGACUUGUCACAGGGCUCCCGGGAGGCCUCACCCUUCCCUUCUGAGGGCCAGGGAGAGGAGAGCCACAUUUUGCCGGAAGGAUGCCUGGGGACUGGCUCAGCGAGGCUGGCAUUCUCCUAUUGAAGGAUCCUUCGCUCAGCUCUGCAGUGUGAGGCCCCAAUGCCCCUAGUCCCCGAGCCUGGGCCUUGAGUAAAAUGACAGGGUGUGCAGCUUUGAGUGAUAACCACCAGCCUUUGAAGCACAAGCUUGGGGCUCCCUGCAGCCCUGCAGGUGAGGGUCUGGACCAGGACAGAGGUUAUGGGCACUGGACAAGGACUUGCCAGCUUGCCCAGGAUGGGUGCCCAGAGCACAACUGCAUGGUGGCGAAAGGGCAGCAGUGCCUGAAACUGGCCCCCAGGCAGGCGGAUCAGGGCCUCCAGCGCCACCACACAUGUGCAACCUGUCUGGCCCUCUUGGGCUGAGCCAGCCCCUGCAUUCUCCGGCAAUUCAGGGAGAGGAAGUAGAGCCCACAGGAGAAGUCAGACUUGCUGCUAAUCUGGAAGUGGAGGCUCAGACUGAUUUUACUUUGAAAAAUGUGAAAAUCGGGAGAAUAUUUGUCCCAAAGCUGAUGAGGCAUGCCACGCUGGUGGCAUAAGCCUGUAUGUCCUAGGGGGCAGGGUGCUGCAAGCAUUUAAGAGUACAGAUUUUGGCGGGGUGUGGUGGCUCAUGCCUGUAACCCCAGCACUUUGGGAGGCCGAGGCAGGCCGAUCAUCUGAGGUCAGGAGUUCAAGACCAGCCUGGCCAACAUGGUGAAACCCUGUCUCUACUAAAACUACAAAACAUUAGCCGGGCAUGGUGGUGGGCACCUGUAAUCCCAGCUACUCAGGAGGACGAGGCAGGAGAAUUGCUUGAACCCAGGAGGCAGAGGUUGCAGUGAGCUGCCAUUGCACUCCAGGCUGGGCAACAAGAGUGAAACUCUGUCAAAAGAAAGAAAGAGAGAGAGAGGGAGGGAGGGAGGGAGGAAGGAAGGAAGGAAGGAAGGAAGGAAGGAAGGAAGGAAGGGCAGAUUUCAGGUGCAAAUCCCAACUUGCCUUCUUUUUAGUUGGUGGUCUUGGGCAAAUUACUCAAACUCUCUCUGUUUUAGUUUCCUCAUCUGUAAAAUGAGGAUCAUUGUGGAAGUUAGUGUCCUCCAAAGAAACAGAACCAAUAGGACGUAUAUAUAGAGAGGUUUAUUUUAAGGAAUUGGCUCAUGCAAUCAUGCGGGUUGGCAAGUCUGAAAUCUGCAGGACAGACCGGGAGGCUGGAGACCCAGGGAAAAGUGAUUUUGCAGCCUUGAGUCUGGAAGCAGAAUUCCUUCUUCCUUGUGGAACUUCAGCCUCUUCUUGUAAGACCUUCAACUGAUUGGUGCGGCCCACCCUCAUUAUGGAGACAGCAAAGUAUUUCUUUCCCUAAGCCUCAGGGAAGGAUGUGACAGCUGAGAACAAAAAACCCAUGUCUCUUGCCUGGAUUUGCAGUGUCGAAAGCUUAG
rnacentral:lncRNA from 1 species